GUAGAUGUAAUUCAUUUGACCCAAAACAUUUAGCAGAGCGAGAGAAGAGAGAGAGAGCUUCAUUACUUAUACAUACAAUGUAGUCAAUUUGCUGGUGCAAAACCGUGAGAAAGGAAGAAAGAAAGAAAGAAAAAGAAGAAGAAAAGGAAAAGGGGAGAACUCAACCAAAUUCAUUAUAAGGUGAGCAAAGAGAUGUCCAAACCCAACCUCAGUGAAAGAUAUGAGAGGAAGUCAAGUUUGUGGAGUCAACCAUGACAUGCCUCAUGAACAAGGCCUUAGUUUUCAAAACUAUUGUUUUGACCCAUUUUGUCUUCUUUUGAUGGUCAUGUUUGACCUUAUUUGUAUAUAAGCUAUGGUUUUGUAUAAUUAUGGUAUUACAUGGAUCUAGACAUAGAAUGUCUUUUAUGUGGGUAUGUUUAGUGUGAGUUAUUAAUAUAAGAAAUAUUUUUGUUCA